UAGGGGGUUCGAUUCCUU
rnacentral:ncRNA from 2 species